rnacentral:lncRNA from 10 species
CUAAAGAGGUGAUAUUUGAGUGAUGAGGAGUCAGCCUUGUGAGCUGCUCGAGAAGAGUAUUCUUGCAGAGAAAAUUGAACCAUGACCUGCCUCUCCCUUCCCCUCCCACUUCAGCCAUGUGAUCAAUUUCCCAAGUGCCUCUUCCAUCUUGAAGGGUGUGUCUACUCUUGUCUCUCCUAGUUGGCCUGAUUCCACCAAUGAAGAAAGCUCUGGCAUUAGCAGAUGUCAGUAAAGACUAUCAGAGAUUGAUGUUAUGCGCCUUGGGAUUGAAUCUUUGAAAUUCGCCAGUCCCCUUCUUUUGGAAAUCUGGACAACAUUUUAAAGGAUGACAGAGGGCACAGAAGCCACCAGCAGAUUCUUUGGAAGGAAGUAACAGGAGUGGAACUUCAUUUUCCCAUGGAUUGUAAAGGGCUGGGCUCCCUUCCACCUCUUCUCACUGGCCUCCUGUUUGUACCCCUGACCUCUCCGGGAUCUGGAUCCCAACACUGUCUUCUGCAAUGAAAACCCUGAUUUUCUAUAUCUGGACAAAAGACUAGGACAUAACGAGAAUUUUAGCGGAAGGAACUGAGGGAGAGAGAUUGCACAGCAGACAAGGACAAAUAAAGGGAAGGUGGAAACAAGGUCACACACUGUUGCCCAGGCUGGAGUAGAGUGGCGUGAUCUCGGCUCACUGCAACCUCCGCCUCCCAGGUUCAAGCGAUUCUCCUGCCUCAGCCUACCAAGUAGCUGGGAUUAUAGGUGUGUGCACCGAGGUAAUUUUUGUAUUAGUAGAGAUGGGGUUUCACUAUGUUGGCCAGGCUGGUCUCGAACUCCUGACCUCAGGUGAUACACCCACCUUGGCCUCCCAAGUUGCUGGGAUUUCAGGCUUGAGCCACCAUGCCUGACCUCCUUUUUAAUUUCUGAUUUUGUUUAUUUGGGUCUUCUCUCUUCUCGGUUAUCCUAGCUAGAAGCUUAUCAAUUUUUUCUAUCUUUUCUAAAACUUUUUGUUUCAUUGUUCCUUUGUAAUUUUUAGACUCUUUCAUUUAGUUCUGCUCUGAUCUUUAUUUCUUUUCUUCUGUUUUGGUUUUCUUUAUUUUUGCUUUUUUGCUUGAAGUGGAUUGUUAGGUUGUUAAAUUGUAAUCUUUCUACUUUUUAAAUGUAGGUAAUUGUUGUUAUAAGCUUUCCACUUAGCACUGAUUAGCUGUAUCCCACAGGUGUUGUUUCCAUUUUGUUUUAAGAAUUUUUUUGUUGAUUUUCAUAAUUUCUUCAUUUACCCAGUGGUCAUUCAUGAGCAUGCUGUUUAAUUUCUGUGUAUUUGUAUAGCCAUCUUAAAAUUGAUUAGAUAAUUCCAUUGUAUUGUCAGCUCAUAAUUUGUUUAGACAUUAACAGGUUGAUAGACAUUUGCAUUAUUUCAUUUUGAGGAUAUUGGGAAUAAAACUGCCAUGCACAUAAAUGCAUAAGUCAUUCUAUAAACAUAUAUUUACAUUUCUCUUGAGUAAAUAUCCAGAUGUGGAAUUACUAAAUCUCAUAGUAAAAGUUUGCUAAAAUUGAUAAGAAACUCUUAAGCUGCCCAAAAAUGAUUGUCGCAUUAUGCUUUCUCACCAACAACAUAGAAUAAACUUUAAUUUCUCCAUCUCUCUCAGAAUACUUGCUGUUGUCAAUUUUUUAA